rnacentral:rRNA from 1 species
AGAGUUUGAUCCUGGCUCAGAUUGAACGCUGGCGGCAUGCCUUACACAUGCAAGUCGAACGGCAGCACGGGGGCAACCCUGGUGGCGAGUGGCGAACGGGUGAGUAAUACAUCGGAACGUGUCCUGUAGUGGGGGAUAGCCCGGCGAAAGCCGGAUUAAUACCGCAUACGAUCUACGGAAGAAAGCGGGGGAUCCUUCGGGACCUCGCGCUAUAGGGGCGGCCGAUGGCAGAUUAGCUAGUUGGUGGGGUAAAGGCCUACCAAGGCGACGAUCUGUAGCUGGUCUGAGAGGACGACCAGCCACACUGGGACUGAGACACGGCCCAGACUCCUACGGGAGGCAGCAGUGGGGAAUUUUUGGACAAUGGGGGAAACCCUGAUCCAGCAAUGCCGCGUGUGUGAAGAAGGCCUUCGGGGUUUGUAAAGCACUUUUGUCCGGAAAGAAAACUUCUGCCCCUAAUACGGUGGGAGGAUGACGGUACCGGAAGAAUAAAGCACCGGCUAACUACGUGCCCAGCAGCCGCGGGUAAUACGGUAGGGUUGCGAGCGUUUUAAUCGGGAAUUUACUGGGCGUUAAA